AUACGUGGGGGGCGAGCGUUGUCCGGAAUGAUUGGGCGUAAAGGGCGCGUAGGCGGCCCGGUAAGUCUGGAGUGAAAGUCCUGUUUUUAAGAUGGGAAUUGCUUUGGAUACUGUCGGGCUUGAGUGCAGGAGAGGUAAGUGGAAUUCCCAGUGUAGCGGUGAAAUGCGUAGAGAUUGGGAGGAACACCAGUGGCGAAGGCGACUUACGGGACUGUAACUGACGCUGAGGCGCGAAAGUGUGGGGAGCAAACAGGAUUAGAUACCCUGGUAGUCCACACUGUAAACGAUGAAUGCUAGGUGUAGGGGGUAUCGACCCCUUCUGUGCCGCAGUCAACACAAUAAGCAUUCCGCCUGGGGAGUACGGCCGCAAGGUUGAAACUCAAAUGAAUUGACGGGG
rnacentral:rRNA from 1 species